UAAAAUUAUGUUGUUACGUGCAUUACUCUUUACUUUUUUAAUACAUUUUUAAUUAUGUUCUUUAAUAACAAUGUUGUAGGUAUUUUUGAAAAAUUACUGUGAUGUUUUCAUUUAUACGAUGUAAUUAUAAACGUACGGAACGUCAUAAAAUGUCCACAAAUAACGUAUUAUGUGGGCCAAAAUAAUACAGUGUUAUUUUGUUUACAGUGUGUUGCGAUAGGUUCCUGUUUCUAUAUCAAAUAGUGAAAUACAACGAAUAUCGAUCCCAGAAGAUAAUGUUCGCAGUUACGAUAACUACAGAUAAAUAACGCGGUGCGUCCGACUAUUUAGCGAUACACCGAGGGCCGCCAGUCGUGAUUUUGUACUGAAUCUUGUACCACAGAUUGUAAACACUGAGAAAAAUAUAAAUCAAAAUGUGUUGCUGCGUUUGUAACCUGCUUUGCAAGAUCAUUAGUGCAAUCGUGUCUGUUCUGUUUGUCGUCGCAGUCGUACUACUAAUAUUGUGGGGAGUUGGCGUCUUAUUUGCAUAGCAUUAAGAUGCCCAAUAAGUCCUAGGACUUAUUGAUGAGGGAACGUCGAAAAUGCUGUGUACAACAAUGCUAAA